rnacentral:rRNA from 1 species
AUUGAACGCUGGCGGCAGGCCUAACACAUGCAAGUCGAACGAGUGGCGGACGGGUGAGUAAUGUCUGGGAAACUGCCUGAUGGAGGGGGAUAACUACUGGAAACGGUAGCUAAUACCGCAUACCAUCGGAUGUGCCCAGAUGGGAUUAGCUAGUAGGUGGGGUAAAGGCUCACCUAGGCGACGAUCCCUAGCUGGUCUGAGAGGAUGACCCGCCCACCUGGACCUGAUCCACGGUCCAGACUCCUACGGGAGGCAGCAGUGGGGAAUAUUGCACAAUGGGCGCAAUCCUGCUGCAGCCAUGCCGCGUAUAUGAAGAAGGCCUUCGGGUUGUAAAGUACUUUCAGCGAGGAGGCGUUACCCGCAGAAGAAGCACCGGCUAACUCCGUGCCAGCAGCCGCGGUAAUAC